rnacentral:rRNA from 1 species
UACGUAGGGGGCAAGCGUUAUCCGGAAUUACUGGGUGUAAAGGGUGAGUAGGCGGCAUGGUAAGCCAGAUGUGAAAGCCUUGGGCUUAACCCGAGGAUUGCAUUUGGAACUAUCAAGCUAGAGUACAGGAGAGGAAAGCGGAAUUCCUAGUGUAGCGGUGAAAUGCGUAGAUAUUAGGAAGAACAUCAGUGGCGAAGGCGGCUUUCUGGACUGAAACUGACGCUGAGGCACGAAAGCGUGGGGAGCGAACAGG